AGAUUGAACGCUGGCGGCAUGCCUUACACAUGCAAGUCGAACGCGAAAGGGGGGGCAACCCCCCAAGUAGAGUGGCGAACGGGUGAGUAAUACAUCGGAACGUAUCCAGUAGCGGGGGAUAACCUCUCGAAAGAGAGGCUAAUACCGCAUACGAUCUACGGGUGAAAGAGGGGGAUCGCAAGACCUCUCACUAUUGGAGCGGCCGAUGUCGGAUUAGCUAGUUGGCGGGGUAAAAGCCCAUCAAGGCUAUGAUCCGUAGCUGGUCUGAGAGGACGACCAGCCACACUGGAACUGAGACACGGUCCAGACUUCUAUGGGAGGCAGCAGUGGGGGAAUUUUGGACAAUGGGCGCAAGGCCUGAUCCAGCCAUGCCGCGUGAGUGAAGAAGGCCUUCGGUUGUAAAGCUCUUUCGGCGGGACGAAAGGUCCGUGUUAAUACCAUGGAUCCAUGACGGUACCGCGAGAAGAAGCGAUACGGCUAACUACGUGACCAGCAGCCGCGGUUAA
rnacentral:rRNA from 1 species